rnacentral:rRNA from 1 species
AGAGUUUGAUCCUGGCUCAGAACGAACGCUGGCGGCGUGGAUUAGGCAUGCAAGUCGAACGACACGGCCCCUUCGGGGGCGUCAGUAGAGUGGCAAACGGGUGAGUAACGCGUGGGUAAUCUACCCUCAAGUUGGGGAUAACCCGCCGAAAGGCGGGCUAAUACCGGAUGUGGUCAUUUAGACGUAAGUAGAGAUGACUAAAGGCGGCCUCUGAUUAAAGCUGCCGCUUGAGGAUGAGCCCGCGUCCCAUUAGCUAGUUGGUGAGGUAACGGCUCACCAAGGCAUCGAUGGGUAGCCGGCCUGAGAGGGUGAUCGGCCACACUGGGAUUGAGAUACGGCCCAGACUCCCACGGGAGGCAGCAGUCGAGAAGCAUUCGCAAUGGGGGAAACCCUGACGAUGCGACGCCGCGUGAGGGAUGACGGCCUUCGGGUUGUAAACCUCUGUCACGUAGGCCGAAAUCCGGUUAACAAAUAGUGUGCCGGACUGACGUAUCUACGAGAGGAAGCUCCGGCUAAUUCCGUGCCAGCAGCCGCGGUGAUACGGAGGGAGCUAGCGUUGUUCGGAAUUACUGGGCGUAAAGGGCGUGUAGGCGGUAAUGCAAGUCGUGUGUGAAAACUGUUGGCUCAACUGACAGCCUGCACCCGAAACUGCAUAACUUGAGGACGGGAGAGGAGAGCGGAAUUCCUGGUGUAGCGGUGGAAUGCGUAGAUAUCAGGAAGAACACCGGAGGCGAAGGCGGCUCUCUGGACCGUAACUGACGCUGAAGCACGAAAGCUAGGGGAGCAAACAGGAUUAGAUACCCUGGUAGUCCUAGCCGUAAACGAUGGGCACUAGGUGUAGGCCCAGCACUGAAUGUUGGCGAGAGAGGCGCCAUGUGUAGACAUGGAGCCGAGCCGUCAGGAUUGAGUGCUGGGUCUGUGCCGGAGCAAACGCAUUAAGUGCCCCGCCUGGGGAGUACGGUCGCAAGGCUGAAACUCAAAGGAAUUGACGGGGGCCCGCACAAGCGGUGGAGCAUGU